rnacentral:lncRNA from 1 species
GGUUUGUUUACUGAGGUUUAUUGAAAAAUGCUAUCUCAUUGUGACAAAUGACAAAUGGAGCCAACUCCAGUUUUCUGUUUGAUUUUUUCGUUUUUGUUGCUCUUCUUGUGAGCUCUUUGCCUAAAUUUACAUAGCUGGUAAAUUGCUGAAUAGGGUUUGAUCGGUGGAAUCUGAGCUGUUGCCUAGUUUCUGAUGACCUGUGGUACAAAGGGAGCAGUGUGUUAGUCGAGCACCUCACUUAUGACCAGCGAGGACUGUACUUGUUAGUUGGAACAUCAGAAGGAAACAUCUUUGUUAUCAAUGCCAAACCCACAAGCUCAUUUGAGAUUCUUGGAUUCACAGAGGCGAGCAAGGAUGUUCUUCAGAUAUCCACAGUGUCUCUUUUGGGAACAAAUGCGGUGAAAGUGAUGGUGCUUUCCUCGCUUCCAGAAGCAGAGAGAAGCAGGCUGGAAAUAUUUACGCUGCCUAAAAAGCUACCACAAGGCAUUGUCAAUGAAAGGGGACGACUGAGAGAUGAGCUCAUUCACAAGCACCUGUGUGAGGUGGAGCACACCCUGGCUUCCGCGGUCUUGGACUUUCAGAGGAGCCGGAUAUGUGGGUUCUGCCGCCACGUGCCGUACAUCUGCAGCUACCGUCUCCCUGAAAAAGACCAGGGCAGCGUUUGCAUUCUUAAGCCAUACCAAAAAGUGCAAAGCAAACACUAUGGACCUGGAAUGGCUCACCUGUCCUCACACGGAUUAUGGCUCCUAACGGCAGCGAAGUGUGGAGCCCUGUGCAUCCGAGAUGUUUACACUCUGGAAAUGUUUGCUCAGUGUCGGAGCCACUCCCACCAGGGGCAUGGGAUUCAGUCCAUGAGAAUUUCAGUGGAUGGACAGAGCAUCCUGGUAAAUGGGAAAGAUGACGGCACCCUGGUCUUCCUCAAAUGGAAGAGGCUUGGGGGAAACUCAGUGAGUGAAAUUACCGAAUAUUGCCAGCAACUGUUACUGUCUUUGAACACCAGCAUGGAGGAGGAGAAUAAUCAUCUCAGUGCAAUGCGACUUUCCUCAGCAUCGGAACCGGAAUCUGAGCAUGCAGUGUGUCAGAACAAGCUAAGCAUUGCCUCAUCACAAGAGGAAUUGAUCGUCACUGAUAGUGAGAAGGAAAUUCCCUGGGUACAACAAAAAAACCAAGAGGCUAUUGAAAAGGAGGUUAAGAUGUUUUCCCAGAAAAGGAAAGCAAUAAAAAGCGGAAUCAAAGAACUUGCUAAAACCGUUCUGACUAUGAUGGAAGAGAAUGAAAAGGUGGAUGAUAUUGCAAAGUUAGACCAUCAAGAGUUUUGCCUGGAUCUUGAGGAACUGGAAAGGCUUCACGAUCAAAGUGGAGAGGAGGUGGCAAAAAUAAGAAAGGAUGUGGAGAUGUACAACCUGGCCAAGAGAUACUUGACUGCCCUUAUCAAAGAAGAAUGCUGGAACUCCAUGGCUGUGAAAGGUCGGGCCCUUAAGUGCUUCCACAUCCCAUGUGUGGUUGAGAACUUCCCCAUGAGAGCACGCACAGCCGAGGAACUGAAGGAAUUGAAGAGAGUUCUGCAGCAAAAGAAGAUUGAAGCAGAGUGUCUUAAACUACAGAAGGAAAUUGUAGAGGAUCAGUCUGCAGUCUCCAUGAAAAAGAACGACCACAAAGAGGAGGAAGAGGAGGAGGAGGAUGAAGAGAAGAUAGUAACAGACACCAAGCUGCCCAAUUACUUGCUUGGCAGUCUGAGUACUGACUUUGGGAUAGACACUUCCUUGUUGUCAAGCCAACUGGAACUUCAUUCCAGAGAGGAGAAAAUCAACCAAAUUAUCUUACUGAAAGACAUCAUUUACAAGGUGAAAACUGCUUUCAAUAAUGAGUUUGAUGCUGCCUUUAAACAAAAAGAGCUGGAAGUUGCACGGGUGAUGGAGAGAAAUGUUAGGAUUAAAGAAAUUAUUUCAGACCUGGAGUUGGGAGAAAAAGUCUGGCAACCAGAAUUUGAAGACUGCGAGAAGCCAGAAAGGACCCUUGCUGUGGAGAAUUCUGAGAUUACAGCCCCAAGACACUUCACUACAUGGCAAAGAGCCAAAGCAGAAAUGACUGUGGUCCGCGAGAUUCGGCGAUGGAUCCAGGCGCGGGGCUCCAGUGAAAGAAGAAAAGGCCUGAUGGACAUGAUGGGAGGCGUCCUGGAAGUCAAGAGGGAAGACAUUUUGAGAAUGGUGAUCCCGCAACCAGCUUUCAUGGCAAAACCCGAUGCUCUGUGGACAGAAGAGGAAAGGAAACAAUUCAGAGACUAUGAGAAAAAAGUCAAGGAGCUAAAUGACGAGAGAGACAAGUAUAGAAAGUCCUUAGAAGCAGAACUGAAGAAACUUCAAAACUUUAUUCAAGAAAGCACACAGAACUUUGACGAACAUUUGAAAAGACUCUUUGAAAGGAGAGUGAGGGCUGAGACGGUUGUCAACCAGGAAGAACUGAAAAUAAGUAAUCUUAUUUUUUCUUUACUCUUGGAUGAAGAGUUAAACUCCAGAGAAAUGUUUCUGAACAACUACCUUUCAAAGAAGCAGGAAGAAAAAAGCCACACUUCAGAAGCAGUCCGGAAAUCUAGAGAAGACCUCGAUAUGUACAAGGAGAACUAUGACAACUUGCUGGCAGAGGACAAAGUUCUGGAUAGAAGCUUCAAAAAGGAAUUUUCUGAAAUUCCAAGUCAACAGGUGGAUAUACUCUAUAAACUUUUUAAACGCCGACCAAGAAUGCAGAAGCAGAAAGCACAAUCAGACACAGCCAGUAUCAUCCCUUUUGGAGAGCAACCAGGAGUUGGCGAGUUGAAUAAGGACACCUUUGCCCAGACAAUGAAAGCCAUGGAGGAGUUGGACAAUAUUAUUAACAUGCCAGAAGGCUUGGACCCCUUGGUCUGGGAUCAUUUCUGCAUAACGAGAAGAGCAAAAGUGGGAAAUGAAUACAAAGUGAAGCAGAAAGCGGCUGGCUUAGUGGAGAUGACGGCUUUUCUCCGCAAGAGAUUGGAGGAUGACGAAAAGGUGCAGCAGGAGAUCGAGAAAGUGUUCCACGAACUCACCCUAUUACAGGAAGACAAAAUGAAAUACCAGCUGAAUUUGACGAUACAAAUUCUCCUUAAACAAGGACAAGUAGAACUGGAGAAUUUCCAGCAAACUCUGCAGUAUCCUGAUGCAAUUCUCAUCAAUAGGACCAUCAUUGAAGAUCUGAACUCUGUAAUUCGGACUCAAGGACAAAAGAAAAUUGCUAGUAUGAUGGAAAGUAAAAAUGUACACAAAGGAAUAUAUCAGAUUGAGUGGGAUCAUAAGAAAAUGGAGAUGGAAAUGGAGGAUCUCAAUCAGAAGGCUUGGGACAUUCAGAUGCUGUUUUUUUCAAGAGAUCGUCAGAAGUACCUAAAUGAACCAAAUUAUGAGUCUUUGAUUACUCUUCAGAUUGGAAUAAUGGAACAAACCAUUCAUGUCUUAGAUAAGACCCACAAAAAGAAUGUCAAUAACUGCAAAAAACUACUCAAAAAACUGGGAAAGUUCAGCAAUCAAAAAGAUGCAGCAAAUUAUACUCUAAGCUGCAAUCUACGAGAAGAGUUGGUAGCUGUCUCAGAGAGGCAAGACAUCUGCAAUGCAAUAGGGUCUACGCUGACUUGUGAAAAGAUUGCCAAAGAACGAUACAAAAGUAUGAGGAAACAACAAAAGCUGACAAAUAUUUCAAAAGAACAAGCUGAAGAGAUCUCAGUUCUUCAGGCUGAAGUUGAAAGAUUAAGGAUGAAAACAUUCCCUGCUCUUGUUAAACUGUGA